CAGCAGCCGCGGUAAUACGAAGGGGGCUAGCGUUGCUCGGAAUGACUGGGCGUAAAGGGCGCGUAGGCGGCUUGGUAAGUUAGAUGUGAAAUCCCCGGGCUUAACCUGGGAACUGCAUUUGUGACUGGCGAGCUAGAGUAUGGCAGAGGGGGGUAGAAUUCCACGUGUAGCAGUGGAAUGCGUAGAUAUCAGGAGGAACACCUGUGGCGAAAGCGGCUCACUGGACCAUAACUGACGCUGAGGCACGAAAGCUAGGGGAGCAAACAGGAUUAGAUACCCCAGUAGUCCCUGUCUCUUAUAA
rnacentral:rRNA from 1 species